GUAGCGGGCGGGAGAGUAUGGGAAGCGGCGGGGGAAGGGAGAGAGCAUCAUGCAACGCUGUGAAUUUUGAAACGGAGUGAAUGAGAAUGAGAGGUUAGGCUGUGUUGUUUUGGUCGUGUUGUUCUUUUUCUUCUUCUUCUCACCACCUCGCCGAGCACCGCCUUCCGCGCUCAGUACAAGGCGCUCAACGACCGUGUUCUCCUUGACGGCACUCUAUCUGUGUGUUUUGCGCACGUUGAUGACAGUACUGGUCAACUCUCUUUGCUUUAGCGGGUUUGCCUCCUCACACGCGUGGCACCUCACGAUCAGAGGGAGUAGGCAAACCCGCGCGCACCGGCGUGUUAACCGAAACACACUUGGCACAUGUCAAACUCAACCUCAACUCGUCGUGUGGCUGCACUGCGGAGUACAGUGUUAUCUGCGGAGAAAACGGCCCGUCGUAAAUGGCACAGUGCAGGCGGAUGGGCGAGGAGCACAUCAUGACGGCGCUUAUCACUUUUCGUAUUUGAACUUUUCUGCUGAUAAGGCGAGUUUGCGGAUGUUGCUGAGACAGCCCGCGGAAGCCUCCUGCAGUACCUCGUCCGAGGAACCAAUCGUCUCCAGCAGAUACUGCAGAAAGGAAAGGCACUUCGAGGAGCCGAGGAGCUUACCGAUACGACGCCCGCGUGGUGCAUGGUGAUGCAGUUGUACGGGUCGGUGGAGAGCUGGUGCAAGGCCAGAGCCGUGGUGCGGUGCACGGCUUUGUUGUUGGACUCCAGUGAUGAGUGCGGCUCAGGAGAAAAACGUCCUGAGAAAAACGGAACGGCACGAGAAGAAAAAAGGGUACGGCAUCUGUCGAAAACAGCAUCUUCUUGAAGAAACACGAGCAAGAUGCCGGAGAAAUGUUGAGCCCAUAGGCCCAUAGGCAAAAACAUUCGUGAAUGGAGAUCAGGAAAGGAUUAACAAUACGGGAAGUUGGAAGGUAGAGGAAUGUGACUCCCGGGGUUCACUGCGCGAUUCUGGGACUAAUAAAAUAUCCACAUAGAUCCCCACGACCCACAAGAAAUCAUUGGAAUUCCCUCUGAACACCAACAUAAAUUUCAACCUCCGUAAGAAUUAAGA